ensembl:lncRNA
CAGAUGUGUAUAAAGUACAUAUAGCCAGCCUAGCACGGACCUCAAAGGGGAACCAGAAAAAAGUUAUGGGGUAUUAGCAAUCAGUUCCUUUUGGUGGCACUGGUGCGGUGGACUGAGAGCAUAGGCCUGACUGGUGACUAGGGACCUGAACUCCCUGAUGCUGAAGACCCCAGCAGGACAAAUCCUAACCUACUACAUCCUGCAGACCUUCACCUCCAAGAGCAAGAGGAUGGUCAUCAUCGUCAGGGUGGAUACCACAGGUGACAUCACAUGUUUAUUAAGGGCACUGAUUGUUGCCAUGGCGAGUAUUGUGCAGUACAAUGAGUGGCUGGAGGAGGAGGACGCCCACAAGCAUCACAAGACUCGACUGAAGGUAGCACGGUACCUGUUUUAAAAAAGAAUGAGUAGAAGUAUAUAACCGGUACAACCAGGCCAAGCUGAGUAUGCAUGACCAGGCUCUGAAGGUGUCAGCAGUGGUAGAAAGUCUGGAGAGGGAGAUGGAGCUUCUGUGUUUGAUUGGGGUUGAGGUCGACAUCAGGCCAAGCCUGGAGCUCCUCAGCAAUGCUGGAAUCAAACUGUGAAUAUAUGGAUGCUUACUGGGGAUAAGCUGGAGACAGCUACUUGUAUCGCUAAAAGCUCCCAUUUGGUGUCCAGAAGUGAAGAUUGGUCUCCAACGGUGGAGAGGCCCAUCUGGAGCUCAAUGCCUUCAGAAGGAAACACGACUGUGCUCUGGUCGUCUCUGGAGACUCCUUGGCGGUACUACAACACAACACACUUCUCACAAGCCUCUCAAGAUGGUACUGUAGAUGUAGCCAAAAAUAUUCUGGUGUCAAAACUAAAACCUUUUGAGUCCAAAACUGCAAGAAGAGCAACAAAGCACAUCAGUUAUGAUUUUAUAAGCAAAACAAACUACAUUUUAUCACUGUUGAUCUGAAGAGAUGGUACAGUAAGUAAUAUGUGAGUGUGCUUGUGGGUUCAGAUGUGUUUGCAUUUUCCAAAUCCAUAUGUUUAUCUUCCCACAUAGUCUGCGGGACUAUGAGCAUGAGUUUGUGGAACUGGCGUGUCAGUGUCCAGCGGUAGUCUGCUGUCGCUGCUCCCCCACUCAGAAAGCCCAGAUCGUCCACCUGCUCAAGCACCACACAGCCAACCGAACCUGUUCCACCUAUGGCACAGGUUUUGUAACAACUAACCACUCUCAUCCUUUGAGACACAGAACUGCUACAAUGAUCUGUGUACAAUGAAUGCCAA